rnacentral:rRNA from 1 species
CUUUGGGAUAACCCUCGGAAACGGGGGCUAAUACCGGAUAGGACUCCUGCCUGCAUGGGUGGGGGUGGAAAGUUUUUUCGGCUAGGGGUGGGCUCGCGGCCUAUCAGCUUGUUGGUGGGGUGAUGGCCUACCAAGGCGACGACGGGUAGCCGGCCUGAGAGGGCGACCGGCCACACUGGGACUGAGACACGGCCCAGACUCCUACGGGAGGCAGCAGUGGGGAAUAUUGCACAAUGGGCGGAAGCCUGAUGCAGCGACGCCGCGUGAGGGAUGACGGCCUUCGGGUUGUAAACCUCUUUCAGCUCCGACGAAGCGUAAGUGACGGUAGGGGCAGAAGAAGCGCCGGCCAACUACGUGCCAGCAGCCGCGGUAAGACGUAGGGCGCGAGCGUUGUCCGGAUUUAUUGGGCGUAAAGAGCUCGUAGGCGGCUUGUCGCGUCGACUGUGAAAACCCGGGGCUCAACUGCGGGCUUGCAGUCGAUACGGGCAGGCUAGAGUUCGGUAGGGGAGACUGGAAUUCCUGGUGUAGCGGUGAAAUGCGCAGAUAUCAGGAGGAACACCGGUGGCGAAGGCGGGUCUCUGGCCGAUACUGACGCUGAGGAGCGAAAGCGUGGGGAGCGAACAGGAUUAGAUACCCUGGUAGUCCACGCUGUAAACGUUGGGCGC